UAACAUACACCUUUUUGGCUCCAUGAGCCGACCACCACCAAACAUACAUACUAUCCGUGAUUUGCUCGUUAAAUCAUCCGGAGUCCUUGCACACAUGGGGUCAAAUAAAACACAAUUCUAAGAUACCUAGGUAUAGCCUAUUGUGCAAUUGCACUUGUAGUAUAAAAUAACACGAUAAUUAUAAUAAUUAUCGGAAAGACUUUACACUCUUUAAACACAUGUUGUAAGAUAAGUUGGCAUGGCCUUGGGAGCCCAAAGAAAUGUGCUAUGUAAAAUGUGUCUCUAAAUUCUUACAACAUAAAAGACAUGAGCUGUUAUAUGUAUUGCGUCAUGGUACUAUACGACCAGGUCUAUGCCUCUUGAUACUUUGUCUCCAAAUCACAUACAAACAGCUUUGUCGCUACCACGAUUGCAUACCAGAAGCCUUUACUUCUUAGUUUCCUGAUAAAUUCACAAAAAGUAGAUCAUGUAAGAUUAUUGAUCAAGUACACUUGGAAUUAGGAUAAAAUAAUUAUUCACUUCUCAAAGAUAACAAACUUUCACUCUUGGUGAUAACAUAUUUAACAGUUCAACCCAAAGGAUCCCUACAAGGCAGAUAUGUAUGUACUUGUGGCCCUCACCCAACACCAAGCAAUAUGAAAUGCCAACUGAUGGUAUUCAAUAUCUUCUCAUUGUACUUACCGAAUAAAUUUUGCUCGCAAGCUUAUUAUUCCUUUUUAGCAUCAGUAGUGGGUAUUCUCCUUUAGACUCAAAACAGUUGGCCCCUUCCAGAUAAAUGUGAUUCGGGAAUUUAGCAUGUCGCGACUUCACAGUGAAGAGAUUAAAUUUAUCCGAGAAAUAGGAGGUACUAUUCCAGAUAAUAGUGGAAGUUCAAAACUUCAGUUAUCAAUACGUACAGUCAAUGUAGACUUAAAGAAACUACGGAGUACCUGCCUGGUUAUAGACCAGCAUGAACAACAUAAUGUUUAGUGGAAGAUCUCAGGCAUAAAAGAAGGCAAUAACCUUACCACAUCUCUGCUUUCAAAAGUAGCAUUUGUUGCAACAAACCUUGCAUUGAACCACCACCACAAGGACCAAGGACGACAUAAUGCUCUAGCUAAAGAAAAUUAAGAACAAUACUGUAAAAUACAGUGGCUAAAUUCCGUUGAAAGUUAGUGAUGACUAUUGUCACUAAUGUGUAGAUGGAUAACAUACUUCUUCCUGUAUUCACUACACUACUUAGACUAGACGUAAUCUUUCAAGUAGAAAUGAGAUUCUGAACACAACAUCGCUGGAAGAUAAUAAGGACAUAACGGGUAUAUUAUUUUUCAGGUAUUUACACUCGUUUCAAGGAAUGUAUCAAAACAAACGGUAGAUAUGUAUGUUCCAGGCAACCAUUCAAAAGUAGAAACUUGAUAAAUAGGAUUCUUCUUUCAGUAAUAACUACUAAAUGGGCGUGACCUGCAUUAUUUACUAGUAGCAACUAAUGCAUCAAAUGAUAAGAUAAAAAAAAAGGAAAAUAUUACAUCACAAAAGACCGGGUGGUUAUACCGAACCUCCAGAAUUUCUAUAGUAAACAAAUAGUCUUCAGAUGGUUGACUGGUGGCUAAUGGAGAGGAAAGUGACUGUAUGAGCUCCGGCCGCCGCCGGCGACAUGCGCGUCUGGGUAGUAGCGGCAAAGUUUGAUAACGUCAUGGGAUUUCGGCUGGAUAUGGAAGCGGCGGCUGAGACCGAUUGAUCAAUUUGGCCUCGAACCAUAUUUUGCACUCGUUUUGGACCGAAAUAUUUCAACACAACCCAAACUUAUCCAAUUCGUUCUUAGGCAUAACCCAAAUCGAAUCAAACAAUUUUCCAUUUGAAUCCAAUAGAGGCCAAACUUAUUGAAACCAAGUCAAAAACCAAACAGCAAACUAAGUUUUGGUCCAAACUAUUCACAUGUUUACUUACAGCAGUGCCAUAAAUUACCCAUGCAGUGAAAACGCACUUCAUCGUCCAGACACAUAGCUUACGAAGGCACGGGACUGUCUCCAUAGUGGCUUCACAAGAACAACAUAUGCUUCAGCAAUCACUAUUCUCAUGUGGAGC
rnacentral:lncRNA from 1 species